rnacentral:rRNA from 1 species
UAGGGAAUCUUCGGCAAUGGACGGAAGUCUGACCGAGCAACGCCGCGUGAGUGAAGAAGGUUUUCGGAUCGUAAAGCUCUGUUGUUAGAGAAGAACGUUGGUAGGAGUGGAAAAUCUACCAAGUGACGGUAACUAACCAGAAAGGGACGGCUAACUACGUGCCAGCAGCCGCGGUAAUACGUAGGUCCCGAGCGUUGUCCGGAUUUAUUGGGCGUAAAGCGAGCGCAGGCGGUUCUUUAAGUCUGAAGUUAAAGGCAGUGGCUUAACCAUUGUACGCUUUGGAAACUGGAGGACUUGAGUGCAGAAGGGGAGAGUGGAAUUCCAUGUGUAGCGGUGAAAUGCGUAGAUAUAUGGAGGAACACCGGUGGCGAAAGCGGCUCUCUGGUAUGUAACUGACGCUGAGGCUCGAAAGCGUGGGGAGCAAACAGG